AAGAUCCACUAGGGGAGCAUAUGUGCUGAGACGGGAAACCGGACCCUUUGAACCUGAUUGAGUUAAGACUUGCGGAGGAAAGUGAUGAAUCGAAUUC
rnacentral:ncRNA from 1 species